rnacentral:misc_RNA from 1 species
GUCUUCGGACAAACCCCCGGAAGAGGAAGUUAGUGAUUGGUGACCCCCGUGAAGCGUCUGGAAUAACACGCGUAGCGGGGACCAAGUCCUUCAACCAGCCUGAGGCAUACCACCGAGGCUGCUGGGGGCACUGGGCUCUGUGGAUGGCUGGCCACUGGCUAGUACUGAAACUUAGCACAUCGGGGGAAACCACCCGCUGCUGAAGCCCUCGCGGCAGACGCAGCGGGCGCGGUCCUCCACCAUGGGCUCCUAAGCCACAGCACCCUUCGGGGCUCGCUGCGGCGGACGGUAGCCCUGGAAAACCCAGAGUGGGAAAGCGGAACGCCUUGCGAGGCGCGACUGGCCCUGCCGGAAGCGCUGAGCUUGGUUCAGCCCGGCGAAAGGUGUAAAAACCUCUAGCUGCUGUAACUAGUGAGCUCUCCGGCGCCUUCGGGCGCUGGCGGCCUUCGGGCCGGCACACACGAUAGUUACCUGGUUGAUUC